rnacentral:lncRNA from 1 species
UGUGUACGCACGCGCACGUGCGUGUGUGAGAAGCUUUAAAAGAAGAUGUUCAAGAUCUGAUGCCCUAAAAGUCUCCAUGGAAGAACAAAAGAAAGGAAACCUUUUGAUAUACAUUUGUGAUUUCCAGAUGUACUCCAUGCUCUUUCCAUGUAACUCCUAUCUCUGUUGAACUUGUGAAUCACACGCAUUACUUUUCAGCCUUAAAAGGCCAGUUUUUGUCCACUUUUCUCUCUUCCUGCCAGUCCCAACUGAAAUUAGUGGAAAGAAAACUUGAUGGAGCUCUCAGCAUUGAACAGAAUCCCUUUAUUAUACACUAGCACUAUCUUUAUCCAGCUUUACUUAGGCUAAUUCCAAAAACCUGCGGUUUUCAGUAUAAAAUGUGUCCACCUUUAGCCAGGCACAGCCAGCACCAUAGGAAGGGGGGAAAAAUAGCAUGUUUAGUUAAGUACAACAACCCAAUGUGUGUUUUUGGAACUGUAACUUUUAAAAGAACUUCAGAAGUAAUUUUUGCAAAUAAGGCUUCAAUUAGAAUUUUGUCAAAAAAAAAAAAAAAUGCUUCUCUCCUAAGUGUCUAAGUCUUCUUUUGGAAUUAGUGACAGGUUUAAAUAAAAGUCCACACCGCCCCAAAAUCACCAGAUGAACUCACCCUUGAGAGGGCAUCUGCAAAAUAUCAUCAAGAGGAAAGAUCUCCCCGCUGAUGCUGCGAGUUUCAUUUCUCAAACUUUGUAAUAUAAGGCAAGUCCUCUCUCAGAGCUGCCAUUGUUACUGUUUGAAUUUCUUUGGGGGGUUCUUUAAUGAAAAACAUGCUACGUUUUGUUUUUAGCUGAAGUCCUAUUCUAGAUAGUUCUGCUUUGGGGGGAAAAAAUGUUAUCAUUUCAUUUCCUUUCUGUAAAUUAAAACUAAUGAAGUGUGGCCAUGUCAGCGCAGAUGGAGAUGUUCCGGGCAUAGACCACUUUGCCUCUGUGCUUUUAAGACUGUUCCUUCUCGUGUCGUCACCCAGUCGCCUUGAGGGACACGAAGUAGACUUGAAGCAGAUGCUACGUUUUCCGUAAACCCGAUUUUGCCUCAGAUGAACCAAAGACUUUUGAAAUUCUGCUUCAUAUAGAAGAGCUGAAUAAAAG